rnacentral:rRNA from 1 species
GAUGAACGCUGGCGGCGUGCCUAAUACAUGCAAGUCGAGCGAAUGGAUUAAGAGCUUGCUCUUAUGAAGUUAGCGGCGGACGGGUGAGUAACACGUGGGUAACCUGCCCAUAAGACUGGGAUAACUCCGGGAAACCGGGGCGAAUACCGGAUAACAUUUUGAACCGCAUGGUUCGAAAUUGAAAGGCGGCUUCGGCUGUCACUUAUGGAUGGACCCGCGUCGCAUUAGAUAGUUGGUGAGGUAACGGCUCACCAAGGCAACGAUGCGUAGCCGACCUGGGAGGGUGAUCGGCCACACUGGGACUGAGACACGGCCCAGACUCCUACGGGAGGCAGCAGUAGGGAAUCUUCCGCAAUGGACGAAAGUCUGACGGAGCAACGCCGCGUGAGUGAUGAAGGCUUUCGGGUCGUAAAACUCUGUUGUUAGGGAAGAACAAGUGCUAGUUGAAUAAGCUGGCACCUUGACGGUACCUAACCAGAAAGCCACGGCUAACUACGUGCCAGCCGCCGCCGUAA